rfam:Schistosoma rodhaini strain Burundi genome assembly, scaffold: SROB_scaffold0001833
AUCUAGCUGAUGAGUCCCAAACAAGACGAAAUGUGUGUCCUGUAU